UGUUGAUGUGGUGAUAGAAGUGCAGAUAUGCGAGACAGAAUCAGAGCGGCGAUUCUUUCCUCUCAUGUUUCUUUUUCUUUCUAAACCCUAAUUUUCAAUUCUAAUGUUGUGAUCGCUGUUGAUAUUUUGCUAUUUGUUAUUGAUAUUACAGGUGAUAGCACAUGAAAGUGCAGAUAUGCGAGAGAGAAUCAAAGAGACGGUUUAAAGGUUUCAAGAUCAAUGUAGAUGUAAGUUAUUUAUAUUUCAUGGGAAGCUGAUCUAUUUGUUGUUAAUAUGCAUGCCAAGUACUAUUAUUUUGGAAGUCCGGUUUCAUGUAGAUGUCACAGUUACGCUCCAAAUAUUCGGAGUUGUUGUUUUCUAAGGCGCUGGUGGAUUCUUUGAGGACUGGGAUAGAUUGAACGUGAUAAAGCUACGUUUCUUUGUUUUUGGUUGUAUUGCAACUUCUGGCGGUAUUAUCCAGGAUAAGUUGAUUGAGCACACAUGUUGGGCUCACGACAAGCAAGUGAGAUGUAUAGCAGCUAUGUUACGUUGAAUUCCACGGGCAUUUCUUCCUCCAAAUGAAGCUUCCAUUAUCAGGGCUGCAGCUGAAUAGGCACAUUGUUUUCUUUCGAAUUGCUAAGCUCCUUUUGGGACAUCAGUGGAAGGGUUUCUUAGUUUUAAUAUUGGAAACAUGUAAUAGCUUAGCUAAUUGUGUGCUGAUUUUAGUUCAAAGUUCUUAUGAGUUGCUAAGUUCCUCUUGGGACAUCAGUGGA